rnacentral:rRNA from 1 species
UACAGAGGUCUCAAGCGUUGUUCGGAUUCAUUGGGCGUAAAGGGUGCGUAGGUGGUGAUGCAAGUCUGGUGUGAAAUCUCGGAGCUCAACUCCGAAAUUGCACCGGAUACUGCGUGACUCGAGGACUGUAGAGGAGAUCGGAAUUCACGGUGUAGCAGUGAAAUGCGUAGAUAUCGUGAGGAAGACCAGUUGCGAAGGCGGAUCUCUGGGCAGUUCCUGACACUGAGGCACGAAGGUCAGGGGGAGCAAACGGG